rnacentral:rRNA from 1 species
UACGUAGGGUGCGAGCGUUGUCCGGAAUUAUUGGGCGUAAAGAGCUUGUAGGCGGUCUGUCGCGUCUGCUGUGAAAAUCCGGGGCUCAACCCCGGACUUGCAGUGGGUACGGGCAGACUAGAGUGUGGUAGGGGGAGAUCGGAAUUCCUGGUGUAGCGGUGAAAAUGCGCAGAUAUCAGGAGGAACACCGGUGGCGAAGGCGGAUCUCUGGGCCAUUACUGACGCUGAGGAGCGAAAGCGUGGGGAGCGAACAGG